rnacentral:rRNA from 2 species
AGGUUAAGUUAACAAGGGCGCAUGGUGAAUGCCUUGGCACUAGGAGCCGAUGAAGGACGGGACUAACACCGAUAUGCUUCGGGGAGCUGUACGUAAGCUAUGAUCCGGAGAUUUCCGAAUGGGGCAACCCAGCAGUUUUAAUCAACUGUUACCACUAGAUGAAUUCAUAGUCUAGUUGGAGGUAAACGCUGUGAACUGAAACAUCUCAUUAGCAGCAGGAAUAUAAAGAAAUUUCGAUUCCCUAAGUAGCGGCGAGCGAACGGGGAACAGCCCAAACCAAAGUGCUUGCACUUUGGGGUUGUAGGACUGAACAUUUGAGUUACCAAAGAACUUGAUAGUCGAAGGAUUUGGGAAAAUCCGCCAUAGAUGGUGAUAGCCCAGUAGAUUAAAUCAAAUUCUCUCAGUUCAGGAUCCUGAGUACGGCGGAACACGUGAAAUUCCGUCGGAAUCCGGGAGGACCAUCUCCCAAGGCUAAAUACUACCUAGUGACCGAUAGUGAACCAGUACCGUGAGGGAAAGGUGAAAAGCACCCCGGGAGGGAGUGAAAUAGUUCCUGAAACCAUGUGCCUACAAUAAGUCAGAGCGCGUUAAUGCGUGAUGGCGUGCCUUUUGUAGAAUGAACCGGCGAGUUAUGAUCCCGUGCAAGGUUAAGACUAAAAAGUCGGAGCCGUAGCGAAAGCGAGUCUGAAAUGGGCGAUUUGAGUACGAGGUUAUAGACCCGAAACCAGGUGACCUAUCCAUGUCCAGGUUGAAGGUGCGGUAAAACGCACUGGAGGACCGAACCCGUGUAAGUUGAAAAUUGCUGGGAUGAGGUGUGGAUAGCGGUGAAAUUCCAAACGAACUUGGAGAUAGCUGGUUCUCUCCGAAAUAGCUUUAGGGCUAGCCUCGGAUUAAGGAUCAUGGAGGUAGAGCACUAUUUGGACUAGGGGCCCGUCUUGGGUUACUGAAUUCAGAUAAACUCCGAAUGCCAUUGAUUCAUGUCCGGGAGUCAGACGAUGAGUGAUAAGAUCCACCGUCGAAAGGGGAACAGCCCAGACCAUCAGUUAAGGUCCCUAAAUGUAUGCUAAGUGGAAAAGGAUGUGGAGUUGCAUAGACAACUAGGAUGUUGGCUCAGAAGCAGCCACCAUUUAAAGAGUGCGUAAUAGCUCACUAGUCGAGUGAUCCUGCGCCGAAAAUGUACCGGGGCUAAGCAUACUACCGAAACCAUGGAUGCGACCAUUAGGUCGCGUGAUAGGAGAGCGUUCUAAGGGCGGUGAAGCAAGAUCGUGAGGACUUGUGGAGCGCUUAGAAGUGAGAAUGCCGGUAUGAGUAGCGAAAGAUAGGUGAGAAUCCUAUCCACCGAAUGACUAAGGUUUCCUGGGGAAGGCUCGUCCUCCCAGGGUUAGUCGGGACCUAAGUCGAGGCCGAGAGGCGUAGACGAUGGAUAACAGGUUGAGAUUCCUGUACUAGUUAAGUGCGUUUGAGCAAUGGAGGGACGCAGGAGGCUAAGAUGUGCAUUCUGUUGGAUUAGAAUGUCCAAGCAGUAAGUCUUGUGGAGAGUCAAAUGCUUUUCACUUUAAGGACAAGCUGUGAUGGGGAGCGAAAUUUAGUAGCGAAGCGUCUGAUGUCACACUGCCGAGAAAAGCUUCUAGUGAGUACUUAACUACCCGUACCGCAAACCGACACAGGUAGUCGAGGAGAGAAUCCUAAGGUGAGCGAGUGAACUCUCGUUAAGGAACUCGGCAAAAUGACCCCGUAACUUCGGGAGAAGGGGUGCUGAUCGCAAGAUCAGCCGCAGUGAAUAGGCCCAGGCGACUGUUUAUCAAAAACACAGGUCUCUGCAAAAUCGUAAGAUGACGUAUAGGGGCUGACGCCUGCCCGGUGCUGGAAGGUUAAAAGGAUGGGUUAGCUUCGGCGAAGCUCAGAAUUGAAGCCCCAGUAAACGGCGGCCGUAACUAUAACGGUCCUAAGGUAGCGAAAUUCCUUGUCGGGUAAGUUCCGACCCGCACGAAAGGCGUAACGAUCUGGGCACUGUCUCAACGAGAGACUCGGUGAAAUUAUAUUGUCCGUGAAGAUGCGGACUACCCGCGACAGGACGGAAAGACCCCAUGGAGCUUUACUGUAGCUUGAUAUUGAGUGUUUGUACAGCUUGUACAGGAUAGGUAGGAGCCAUAGAAACCGGAACGCUAGUUUCGGUGGAGGCGUUGGUGGGAUACUACCCUCGCUGUAUGACCACUCUAACCCGCACCACUAAUCGUGGUGGGAGACAGUGUCAGGUGGGCAGUUUGACUGGGGCGGUCGCCUCCUAAAAAGUAACGGAGGCGCCCAAAGGUUCCCUCAGAAUGGUUGGAAAUCAUUCGCAGAGUGUAAAGGCACAAGGGAGCUUGACUGCGAGACAGACAGGUCGAGCAGGGACGAAAGUCGGGCUUAGUGAUCCGGUGGUACCGUAUGGAAGGGCCAUCGCUCAACGGAUAAAAGCUACCCUGGGGAUAACAGGCUUAUCUCCCCAAGAGUCCACAUCGACGGGGAGGUUUGGCACCUCGAUGUCGGCUCAUCGCAUCCUGGGGCUGUAGUCGGUCCCAAGGGUUGGGCUGUUCGCCCAUUAAAGCGGUACGCGAGCUGGGUUCAGAACGUCGUGAGACAGUUCGGUCCCUAUCCGUCGCGGGCGUAGGAAAUUUGAGAGGACCUGUCCUUAGUACGAGAGGACCGGGAUGGACAUACCUCUGGUGUACCAGUUGUGCCGCCAGGCGCAUCGCUGGGUAGCUACGUAUGGAUGUGAUAAACGCUGAAAGCAUCUAAGUGUGAAACACACCUCGAGAUGAGAUUUCCCAUUCCUUUAUGGAAGUAAGACCCCUGAAAGAUGAUCAGGUAGAUAGGUUAGAAGUGGCAGUGCGGUGACGCAUGAAGCGGACUAAUACUAAUCGGUCGAGGACUUAACCAAG